GACAGAGGGUGCAACCGUUGUUCGGAUUUACUGGGCGUAAAGCGCGUGUAGGCGGCUUGGCAAGUCGGAUGCGAAAGCCCACGGCUCAACCGUGGAAGCGCACCCGAAACGGCCUCGCUGGAGUCUCGGAGAGGAAGGUGGAAUGCUUGGUGUAGAGGUGAAAUUCGGAGAUAUCAAGCAGAACACCUGCGGCGAAGGCGACUACCUGGCCUGUUCUUGACGCUGAGGCGCGAAAGCUAGGGGAGCAAACGGG
rnacentral:rRNA from 1 species